GAAUAUUUCGCAAUGGAGGAAACUCUGACGCAGCGACGCCGCGUGAGCGAUGAAGGUUUUCGGAUCGUAAAGCUCUGUCCUUGGGGAAGAAGGUCUUCGGACUUGACGGUACCCAAGAAGAAAGCCCCGGCUAACUACGUGCCAGCAGCCGCGGUAAUACGUAGGGGGCAAGCGUUGUACGGAAUUAUUGGGCGUAAAGGGUGCGUAGGCGGCCUUUUAAGUCAGAUGUGAAAGCCCACGGCUUAACCGUGGGAUUGCAUUUGAAACUGGAAGGCUUGAGUAUCGGAGAGGGUAGUGGAAUUCCCAGUGUAGCGGUGAAAUGCGUAGAUAUUGGGAGGAACACCAGUGGCGAAGGCGACUACCUGGACGAAAACUGACGCUGAGGCACGAAAGCUAGGGGAGCAAACA
rnacentral:rRNA from 1 species